CCUCCCACCCACUACGCAUAUAAACAGAAAACAAGUGAAAAAUCUCGAUAGGGUCUUUUCUCUUUUUUUUUUUUUUUUUCUCAUUUAAAAACUAUUGAUGAUAUUGGAUUAUAAUAUUAAAAAUUUUGAAAUAGAAAAUGUGAGACCAAGAGAAGACGUGAAUUCACUGUCAACUUUUUUAAGAGAAUGCAUGAACAUGUAUACAUAGAACAAAUAAAACAAAGGGUCGGCAAACAAAUGAAUGGUUCUUCCCACUCGGCCAAUUCCAA
rnacentral:lncRNA from 1 species